rnacentral:tRNA from 1 species
GCAUUGGUGGUUCAGUGGUAGAAUUCUUGCCUCCCAAGCGGGAAACCCGGGUUCAGUUCCCAGCCAAUACA